GAGGAACUGCCCGGGCGCGGUAGCGUACGGGAAGACCGGAGAGGAGCUGCGUCUCUGCCCCGUGGGAGCCGGCGGGGCGGCGGGGCGGCGGCUGCAGCUGCAGCUCCGGCGCGAGGGCUCCCUUGCCGGGCCCUCUUCCCCGACCCCUGGGGCGCUCCGACAAGGAAGAGCCGUCCAGCGCGCGUCCGUCCUGAGCGUGGGCCUAGAACCAAUUACAGAGUCAAACCCAAGAGCCGAAGAAAGUGAAGACUCGCAGCUUGCCGCAGCCCCCUCCUCGGCCUGCGCACCUCCCAUUGAGGGCGUCCUGAUUUAAACGCGUGCCUCCUGCAUUUCUGCUUCUGCCCCAGGCUAGAGCGGCGACCAGGAACGCUGGACCCACAGAGAUCUGUGGCAAUGUCUGUCGAACCAUGGUGUUCUUUGGGGCAUCUGACUAGAGUAUUGUUUGAUAACCAGAAAGAAAUCAAAAAUUGGUGAUCACAAGGCUAAUGUCACUUUUGCUGCAGUGGAAAAUCAUGAUCAUUCUGUUUAAAUCUGAGUCAGUUUUGAGACCUAGAGCCCAUUAAUUGACAAGGAGGCUUGGUUCCUCUCAGGAAGGAUCUUACAAUACCAGCAUCUGAGCAUAUACCAAGAAAUAUUCCUCCAAUCCUUCCCUAAAGGGACCUAGAGCCACUUUAAAAAGUAACUGGUCCGGGCGUGGUGGCUCACGCCUGUACUCCCAGCAUUUUGGGAGGCCGAGGCGGGCAGAUCACUUGAGGUCAGGAGUUUGAGACCACCCUGGCCAACAUAGCGAAACCCCGUCGCUACUAAAAAUACAAAAAUUAGCCGGGUUUGGUGGCUUGUGCCUGUAAUCCCAGCUACACGGGAGGCUGAGGCGUGACAAUCCCUUGAACCCAGGCCUUGUUGCCGCGAGCCACUGCACUCCAGCCUGAGCGACAGAGUCAGACUCAGUCUCAAAAAAAAAAAAAAAAAAAAGAAAACUGAUUCUGGCUGGGGGCAGUGGGUCACGCUUUUAAUCCCUGCACUUUGGGAAGCCGAAGUAGGAGGAUCGUUUGAGCCCAGGAGUUUGAGACCAGCCUGGGCAACAUAGCAAGAACCUGUCUUUACAAAAAUUAAAAGAUUAGCUGGGCGUGGUGGCAGGUGCCUGUGGUUCCAGCUACUCUGGAUGCUGAGGUGAGAGAAUCACUUAAGCCCAGGAGGUCAAGGCUGCAGUGACCUGUGUUCACGCCACUGCACUCCAGCCUGAGCAACACAGCAAGACUGUCUGAACAGCAACAACAAACACACCAAAAAAACUAGUUUACUUCGGAAAAGGGACUGUCUAGGUCUUUGAAGGGCUGAUACAGGAUCUGAGCUGACACUGUUUCCAGGAGCCCUGAAGCAUCAUGGCCCUCUCAUUAGGGUGCAGGCUUAUGGAAAUCAGAUGAUAAGCAGAAUUCCCAACCCGAGUCCUGUGGUUACUUCUCUGGUCUCAAUGCAUACUUGGGAUGUUUUUACCUAGCAGAGGGCGGAGCGUAUACAUUGAUCCCAGGCCUUUGGUACCAUAUGUAAGGAAGCGCAAAGUAGAAACCUUUGAAACUCCUCACCCUACUGAAACCUUUCCAAGAUAGUAAGUCAGAAACAAUGCUGCAUUCCAGGUGUAAUUGCAGAGGUAUUUCGCCCUCAAAGACUUAUAAAGCAGUGGUUACCGUUUCAUCCCUUCAAUUAACCUGAAUGGCUCCUGCUAAAUCUUGGUGGAUUCAAGUAAAUGAUGAUGCCCUGCACAAACUUAGCCAAGUCGUGUCCCCGAUCACACAGCUGUGCUAGGUGUGGUAUCUUUACUGGAACCGAUAAAUGCACCUCUGGCUCUUGAUAAUGCAAUUAUUGACUUGGUGAACAUUCUUUUCAAUUGCCAGUGGUAAAGAGGAUUAAAAGCAGUUCACAUUUAUAUGGGAAGGACAGCUCUGUAAAUGGUCUUGCUUCUUGCUGUCUGAACUCUCCUGUUCUCUGUCACAAUAGUCCUUAGGUAGCUUAUCAUCUAUAUUCCAUAUAACAUUGAUGAUGUCAUACUAGUUGGACAUGGUGAAGAAGGCCGUGCAUGUCAGAGGAUGAGCGAGAAGCCCUCAGAAGUUCUGGAGCCUGCCAUAUCAGUGACAUUCUCAGGGGUGCAGCGUUUGAGGGCAAGCCAGGGACAAGUUAUUGCAUCCUGCAUCCUUACAAGGAAGAAAGAGGCACAGCAUUGAGGCACCUCUGUGUUUUGGAGUCAGCAUGCACCGCGCUAGAGGAUACCUCUCUGACCCCUUUAUUGGGAAGGACCCUAUAUGGCAUCUCUGGCAAACUCCAACGGAAGAGUUGCAGUACACUGUCCUAGAGUUCUUGGACAAGACCAUGCCUUCUGCAGCAGAGAACUACUCGCCAAGUGAGAGCAGUAUCAGGCACACUACCAGACCCAGGUAGAGACCGAGCACCUGCUGGUGGGACAUCAGCGACCAUGCGACAGGGUCUGCCCAAGCGAGGUGUUGUCAGAUCCUCCAAGUCAGUAGGUCAGAGGCUCAGUAGCAAUUGAUGGUACAAUGAAAAAGGAAGCCUUGGGCUUGGACCCAAGCGUGUCUAGUGGGUAACAGUUAUUUACAGGAAGAGGUGGCAGUGUGGCCCCACAUCUGCUUUGCACUGAUAUUUCUCCCUUAGCAGAUAAGCAUUCUGGUCUGGUUCGUAUAUAGGUCAGUUUGAUGUGUUGAUAUGAACUGAAAAUGAACCAUAGGUACACUACAGUCCCAUUCAAGGUGACCCUAAAGGACGACAAUAGGAAAUCCUCCAUGGGGCUGAGCUUCCAGCAGUUCGUGUGGAUAUCCACUUUGUAUGGAGGCAGUGGACAGAGUAGUGGCCUGAGGGAGGGACGCAUAUGGACUUCUGGGUUGUGACGUCCUGCUGGCUGGUCAGGGACCUGAAAAGAGCAAGAGGGGAAGAUGGACCUACAGGAGUGGCCACACAAUAUGUGCAUCUCUCUGCCUUGUGUUAAUACUGCAGAGGAGUUGGUGAACAGCAGGAUGGAUGGGAUGUCAGUCAGCUGUGCCCCUGGCUACCCCUGUGCUUGAACAGUGGACUGUGAGUGGCGGCGUCAUGCAGAAGGAGCACAGGGUCCCAGGCCAGCAUCACUAUCCAGGAGCUUCAGGCAUGCUCCGUGUACCAACAUGGGAUCACGAAUCACAUCGCCUCAGGCCAAGAAAGCCAUUUUAUAGCGAAAGAGCCUUAGGAUCUGCUGGAUUAGAGCCUGUUUCCCAGGUAGGAACGCUUCCACGAGGGCACUCCUGCUGGUUGCAGGAAGGAUACCUCUGCUGAGCCUGAAUCUGCAAAGACCACCAGGUUACUCUCAGCUCCUCAUACUGGUGGACCAGCAGGCCACAAAGGAGGGGAUACUUGAUCCUGAUAAACGGUGAGGAGGUAGCGUGGCUGCUGCGUAACGGGGCAAGCAGGCAUUGAUCUGGCACUUAGAGGAUUCAUCUAGGUCUGUCUUGGUGCUUCCAUGCCAAGUAAUGACAAUGAAAAGGUCUUUUCAGCAGCCAUAGCCCCUAAGGGCUCAGAUGCCUCAGGGUGAAGGUCUGGGCAGCGUCACCAGGCAAGCCAUGGAGACAAGCUGGAAUGCUGGUGAGGGUGAGGCCAAGGAGGAGGUGGCUGCUGAAUAUCUGUUACUUGGGAGAAGCUGUGGCAGUGGGGAUUGUAUUUGUUCUGCUAAGCCUCUUGUAUUAAGGCUUUCAUAGGAGUUGUAACUAGCCUUUACUUUGAAGAAUCGUGACAGAGUAGACUCAAUAUUGUAGCUGACUAGAUCUGAGAGGGGCAGGAGAUGGUGUCUUGGCUGAUGCCCUCAGCCCACCUUUAACUGCAGUGGACACAGAGCUGCAUCUCUGCUGUGUGUCUUUGCACUUCCUGCUCCAGGCCUUCUCUGACACCAUGGCGGCCCCCUGAGCCUGUGCCGAGAUUGUGCCACUGCACUCCAGCCUGAGCAACAGAGCUAAACUCCAUCUCAAAAAAAAAAAAAAAAAAAAAAAAAAAAGGCGAGGGGAAUACAUACAGGAAUGGACUGUGAGGAUACAAAGCCAAGAAUGAAUUGUAGGUUAGUGCAAAUUUAUCAACAUGAGUGCACUUCAAAGAGAAUCUUUGAUUCCGUAUUUUGGCUCAAGGCCUGGGAGUAGUUAUGACCGUGCCUGGGUGGCUGAAUGAAGCCUGGACUCCUUGGUGGUUUACAUUGAUGGGAAGAUGAGAAUGUGGAGUGGAUUUGUGAUGUAUGUGACAUGACCUGGCUGCCACUCUCCUCUCUCUAUCCCUUCAUUAGACCAUUGUGUAAUUUAAAAAAAUAGGUUAUAAAUUUCUUUUCAAGAUAGUAAAGGGGUACGAUCAACAACCCAUGGAACGGGAGAAAGUAUUUGCAAAUCAUGUAUCUGAUAAGGAGUUAAUAUCCAAAAUGUAUAAGGAACUUACAAAACUCAAUAGCAAAACACCAAAUAACCCAAUUUAAAAUGUGUAAAGGACCUGAAUAGACAUUUCUCCAAAGAAGACAUGCAAAUGACCAACAGGUAUAUGAAAGGGGCCCAACAUCACUAAUCAGGGAGAUGCAAACACCACAACGAGAUAUGACAACAACGCGAUCCACCUCACACCUCUUAGUUUGGCUACUAUAUAAAAAAAAAAAACAAAGGCAAGAGAUAACAAAUAUUGGCGAGGAUGUGGAGAAAAGAGAACCCUUGUAUACUGUUGGUGAAAAGGUAGAUUGGUACAACCAUUAUGGAAUACAGUAAAAAAUUAAAACAGAACUACCAUGCAAUCCAGCAAUCCCACUUCUGGAUGUAUAUCCAGAGGAAAUGAAAUCAAUAUCUUGGAGGAUAUCAGUACCAGCUUAUUCAUUGCAGCAUUAUUCACAAUAGCCAAGUUAGGAAGCAACCUGAGUGUGCGUCGGCAGGUGAAUGGAUAAAGGCCAGGUGUAGGUGCUGGCUAGGGAUUCUAAAAUUAUGGGAAAACUGGAAAAUUGAUAUUAGGGCACCAUCUGCCCCUUUGGCCAUGCCCUCUCUACUUCCUGUAUACAAAACUCACUCACCUUAUCCUUAAGGGAGACCACUGUAAAAGUUCUAACUAGUUGCAGCAUCCAGCUCAAAAUUUAGGUUCUCUGACUUAUAUGCAAUUUGCUCCUUCAGGUCCAGAGGUAGAUCCUUGUGGUCCAGUGACUUAUAAAAGGUUUGUCAUUCAUCCUCCAACAAACUCAGUGUACACUAGUUUAAUCCAAUGUCGUAUAAACUAAAACAUAUUUUAUGUGUCCCAAACAUACAAAGAAAGAUUAAGGGCCGGGCGCAGUGGCUCAUGCCUAUAAUCCCUGCACUUUGGGAGGCUGAGGUGGGCGGAUCACCUGAGGUUGGGAGUUAGACACCAGCCUGGCCCACAUGGAGAAACCUCGUCUCUACUAAAAAUACAAAAUUAGCCAGCGUGGUGGCGCAUGCCUGUAAUCCCAGCUACUCGGGAGGCUGAGGCAGGAGAAUCGCUUGAACCCAGCGGGCGGAGGUUUCAGUGAGCUGAGAUCGCGCCAUUGCACUCCAGCCUGGGCAAAAAGAGUGAAACUCCGUCUCAAACAAAACAAAACAAAACAAAAGAGUAAGAAUUGGGUAAAUACUACAAAGACCCCAUAUUUAGACCCGAUCUCUAGUCUGUGGCACUUGCCAAAUCCUAUUGAGCAUAAAUAGUGAAGUCCCCUUUCCUGGCAGCGCCGGCUCAGUUUUCUGGAAUGUUUCUCCUUGUCUGUUAGACUUCGUGUCCACAUCUAGGAGGACACUGGAGAGGAACCUUCUUGGAGGCUGCGUAGUUUCUUCUAUGGGAUCAAAUGCCUCCUGGCUUUUGUAGGGAUUACUUUAGGAGCUGAAUUGUCAGAGGGUUUGACAAACUAGAUUGUAGUUUCUUUGGUGAUACGAUUUCUCCACAUUUUCAGUAGUGACAUUCUAGCUUCAUAACAUGAGUUGGGAAGGUUUCUGCCUCCUGUUUCCUGAAAUGUUUAUGUAGGAUUAGUAUUAUUUCUUCCUUAAAUGUUUGCUAGAAUUCACCAGUAAGGCAAUCUGGAUCUGGAGUUUUCUUUGUGGAAAGGUUUUUAAUUGGUAAUUCAAUGUCUUUAGUAAUUAUGAGGCCAUUCAGAUUUUUCUUUUUCUUUUUGUUCCAGCUUUGGUAAUUUGUGUCUUUCAAGAAAUUUGUUCAUUUAAUUUACAUUUUCAAGUUUAUUGGCAUAAAGUUGUUCAUAGUUUUAUAAUUCUUUUAAUAUCUGCUGAAUCUAUAAUGAUAUUUUUGCUUUCAUUCCUGAUAAGGUUAUUUAUGUCUUCUUUUUUCUUGGUUAGUCUAGCUAGAGGUUUAUCAAUCUUACUGAGUUUUUUAAAGAACCAGCUUUUGGUUUCAUUGAUUACCCUCAACUGUGUAUAUAUUUUUUAUUCCAUUGAUUCUGAUCUUUCCUUCUAAUUCACUUUUCCCUUUCUUUCUUUUCUUUCUUUUCCUUCUUUCUUUCUUUCUUUCUUUUCCUUCUUUCUUUCUUUCUUUCUUUUCCUUCUUUCUUUCUUUCUUUCUUUCUUUCUUUCUUUCUUUCUUUCUUUCUUUUCCUUCUUUCUUUCUUUCUUUGUCCCUCCCUCUUCCUCUUCCUCUUCCUCUCUCUCUUUUUCUUUCUUUUCUUUCUUUCUGACAGAGUCUCACUCUGUUGCCCAGGCUGGAGUCCAGUGACACUAUCACAGCUUACUGCAGCCUUGACCUCCUGGGCUCAAGCGAUCCUUCAGCCUCCUGAGUAGCUGGGACUACAGGUGUGUGCCACCACCUGGCUAGCGUGUGUGUUUGUGUGUGUGUGUGUAGAUGGGGUCCCACUGUGUUGCCCUGGCUGGUCUCGAACUCUUGGGCUCAUGCUAUCCUCCCACCCUGGCUUCCCUGCUGGGAUUACAGGCAUGAGCCACCACACCUGGCUCCUUUAUUUUUCUUUCUUUCCAGUCUAUUACUUUUAGCCUAUCUUGGUGUUUAUAUUUAACAUUUCAUUUCUUGAGGUAGCUUAUAGUUUGUGUCUCACUUUUUAAAUACAUUCUGAUAAUCUCUGCCUUUCAAUCUGAGUUUAGAUCAUUUCUAUUUAAUGUAAUCAUUGAUAUUAUUGGGUUUAAAUCUACCAUCUUGCUAUUUAUUUGUCCCAUCUUACCUUUGUUCCAUUUCCACUUCUUUUCUGCUUUCUGAUGGAUUGAUCAAGUAUGUUUUCGUAUUCUGUUUUAUUACCACUCUUAGCUUAUUAAUUGUGUCUUGUUGUAGUUUUUAAAAUGUUUUCUCUAGGAUUUAUAAUAUACAUUUUUAACUUGUCAUAGUCUACCCUCACAUGAUGUUAUGGCAUCUACAUAUAAUGUAAGAGCCUCCUUACAGCAGUAUGUUUUCAUUUCUCCUCCCAUCCUCUGUAUUGGUGUUGUUAUGUUUUACAUCUGCAUAUGUCUUAAGGCUGGGCAUGGUGGCUCAUGCCUAUAAUCCCAGCACUUUGGGAAGCCAAGGCUGAAGAAUUCUUGAGCCCAGGCAUUCAAGACCAGCCUAGGCAAAUAGUGAGACCCUGUCUCUACAAAAAAAUAAAAAAUUAGCCAGAAACGGUGGUAUGCACCUGUAGUCCCAGGUGCUUGGGAGGUGAGAGAAUCACGUGAGCAUGGGAGGUUGAGGCUACAGUGAGCCGUGAUCAUGCCGCUGCACUCCAGCCUGUGCAACACAGUGAGACCCUGUCUCUAAAGAAAAGAAAAAGAAAGAAAAUGUGUGCAAAACCCACAAAACUAUAAAGAAUAGUCAAGCAGUUUGAAAAGAACCAAAUGGAAGUUCUAAAAGGAAAGUUUUAAUUUAGUUCAAAUUUUAGUUGAAUUUUAAUUUCAACUAAAUUAAAAACUUAGUAUGCAUGUUUAACAGAAGAUUAUAAAUAACCAAAGCGAGACUUCAUGAGCUAAAAGAUAAAUAUGAAUACAGUAUACAGAAUGCUGCCUGGAAAGACAUAGAUUUGGAAAACCUGGAAAAAGGGUUAAGAGACAUAAAGGCUAGAAUAGGAAAAUCCAACAUGAGCCUAAUUAGAGUGCCAGAAGGAGAAGAGAUGGAAUGGAGCAGAGGAAAUAUUUGAAGAGAUAAUGGCUAUGAAAUUUCUAAACUAAUGAAAGUCACAUAAUUGAGAAAUUCAUAUAAAUUUAUAUAAUUGAGAACCUCAUGCAGAAAAAAAUACAAAAUAAACCCACACCUAGAUAGACCACAUUGAAACUUCAGAACACCAAAGACAAAAGCGUCCUAAAUGCAGCUGGAGAUGCAUGGAAAAUGACCUUCAAGGGAGUGACUGAGAGAUGAUGUUUUCUAGCGACAAGGAAAGCCAGAGGAGGACAAUGGACGAGACCUUCGAGGUGAUAAUGGAAACUAAUGACCCAGAAUUCUGUAUCCUGUAAAAAUAUCUUUCAGGAACCAGGACAAAAUGAAGACAUUUUCGGACAAACUGAGUUUACUACGGAAGAUUCUCAUUAAAGAAACAUUUAAAAGGUGUAAGGAAUUGGUAUCACAGGGUGAUCUGACAAGGAAGAAGGAAUGAAGGAUAUAGAAAGAGGUUAUGCUUGUUUGCUGAUGGAAAUGAUCCAGAAGAGAAGGACAAGUUGACGAUUGAGAGGGUUAAUGUCAGGUAAGAAACUUGAGUGGACAUUGAGGAAAGAGCGAGGUUCAGUGGACUGGAGGUUUGUGGUGGUUUCAUGACACGUGGACUGGAGAUUUGCAGUGGUUUUAUGACACAUGGACUGGAGGUUUGUGGUGGUUUCAUGACACAUGGACUGCAGAUUUGCAGUGGUUUUAUGACACAGCUCCUAAGUUCUUUGACACUCUUCCCAUGGAGGGGUAGGGUCUGUGACCCCCCUCUUGAAGCUGGGUAGGCUUGCAACUGCUUUGGCCAAUAGUCACAGCAGCAGUGAUGCUGUAGGACUUACAAGGUUAGACCAGAAAAGGGCAUGCCCUCCAAGGAUCCUUACUCUGAUGGGAACCAGCCAUCAUGUAGAAACUCUACCCUUGGCUGGGUGCGGUGGCUCACGCCUGUAGUCCUAGCAUUUUGGGAGGCCGAGGUGGGCGGAUCACCUGAGGUCAGGAGUUCCAGACCAGCCUGGCCAACAUGGCGAAGACCCGCCUCUACUAAAAAUACAAAAAAAAAAUGAGCUGGGCGUGCUGGCAGGCACCUAUAAUCCCAGCUACUCGGGAGGCUGAGGUAGGAGAAUCACUUGAACCCAGGAGGUGGAGGUUGCAGUGAGCCAAGAUCACACCACUGCACUCCAACCUGGGUGACAGAGCGAGACUCUUGUCUCCAAAAAAAAAAAGAAAAGAAAAGAAACUACCCUGAGACCACGAUGCAGGAGAGCCCAGUGGAUAUGCUGGUGACAGCCGCAGCAGAGCCCCCAGCUCACACUCAGCAUCCACUGCCAACCUUCUGAAUGAACCAUCUCAGACCUCGAGCCAGGCUUACCUCCAACUGCAACCAAACCUCAAAAGAGACCCAGGCAAGAACUUCCCAUUGGAGUCCUUCCUGAAUUUCCACCCUCAAAACAAACAAUUGUAAAUAACAACUUAAUUGUUUUAAUCCACUAAAUUUGAGGAUAAUUUGUUACACAGUAAUAGUAAUUGAAGCACAUUUCUUAUGGAGUUAAAAAAAAAAAAAAAGGCUUGACACAGUGGCUCACGCCUGUAAUCCCAGCACUUUGGGAGGCUGAGGUGAGUGGAUUGCUUGAGCUCAGGAGUUUGAGACCAGGCUGAGCAACAUGAUGAAACCCUGUCUCUACAAAAAAUAAAAACAUUAGCCAGGUGUGGUGGCACACAUCUAUAGUCCAACUACUCUGAGGAAUGAAGUGGGAGAAUUGCUUGAACCUAGGAGGCAGAGGUUACAGUGAGCUGAGAUUGCACCACUACAUUCCUGCCUGGGUGACAGAGCAAGACCCUGUCUCAAAAAAAAAAAAAAGUGGGUAUUGUAGUAAUGCAGCAAGAGACCAAGAAAAGUAGGAGGUAGUGAUCAGAGACCUGGCUGCAUAAAAAUGAAGAUUCGGGAAAUGGUGGCGUUAGGACUUCACCAUGGUGAAGGUAGAACUCUUAAUUUUCAUCUUUAUUAAAUGUGUCUGUUUGCAGUUUUAACCAUUGGCAUAUUUAUUUUGUGUUUGUGAUUUCUGUGAAAUAUGAGUACAAUAAAUACUGAUAGUUUGCAUUUGUUUUCUAAUCUCUCAGAAAGUUGUCAGAAAAUGUUCUCUGACUUUUUAGAAUUGCUGUGGUCAGGACUGUGGAAGCUGUUGCGAUUCCAACUCUCCCUUCUAAGUCCAAUCAAUUUUGUGCUUUGUAAUGUCUAUGCCAUUCGUGCACCAUAGAGGGAAGAAAGCGUUAAAAUGGUCGCGUCACAACAUCUUGAUUUGUCAUUGAAG
rnacentral:lncRNA from 1 species